GGCACGUGUGGGCCCCAGGGAGGGUCUGCGGACUCAGGAUUCACACAACCCAGGCCUCGAAAUCUUAGGAGGAACCUCCACUCUCUGGUCCCCUUCAAUGCACAUCCUGGGGGAGGAGGAGGAGCCCAGAUUCCGGACACCGGGACGUUCUUUUUCCUCAUCAGCCGAGCUCUGACCGCAGACCUGCUCCAGCACAGGCUCGAACACAGCAACGUUCAGAAACCGCUGCUUGGCCUCCGACUGCCUUUGGCUGCGGGACCCCGAACCCCGAUCGGAGGGAGGACGGUCACCGGGCGGCUGGUGGUGCCGGGCGGCGCUGGGCCCCGCGCACGGAGAUGAGAAGGAGAGCUCACGCACUCUGCUUCAGUCCCGGACCCCGGUUUGGGCGGGAGGAAGCUAGCAGAGUGCCGUCUGUCACACAGCUCGUCUCUAUGACCCCAUUUCAUCCUCAUGACAGACAGCGCCGUAGGAACCCUCACCCGCGUUUUGUGGACAAGAAAACCAAAGCUUCGCUGUAGAAUCUAUCGAGACCGUUUGUGGUACCUGCUAGGCCGUCUUCGUCCUCACCACCUUCGCCGCUGUCCUCCAGGCCCGCGAGAGCGCAGGCGGCCACGGCCCGCGCCCUGCAUCUUUUCAUCCUGAGGUGCGAGAGUCACGUCUUCUUAAGUCGGUUGUUUCUUUUGAAGACAUCUUAACCAAAGCCUCCUGCCUCCAGAGUCCUUUACCAUGACGAAUGUCAGUAACCGUGAUGGCUCCCUGAGGCUGAAUUUUAAAAGAGCAUUAAAGAUUAAAGGACACACAGGUCAAUUACCGGUACAAGUAGAUGACUUGAGGAGUAAUUACAUAUAA